rnacentral:rRNA from 1 species
UACGGAGGGUGCAAGCAUUGCUCGGAAUUAUUGGGCGUAAAGGGUAGGUAGGUGGUCUUAUUUGUGUGGGGUGAAAGCCUUGGGCUUAACUCAAGAAGUGCCCCGCAAACGGUAAGACUAGAGUCUUGGAGAGGCUAGCGGAAUUCCCGGUGUAGCGGUGAAAUGCGUAGAGAUCGGGAGGAACACCAGAGGCGAAGGCGGCUAGCUGGACAAGCACUGACACUCAACUACGAAAGCGUGGGGAGCAAACAGG